rnacentral:rRNA from 1 species
GAGGGGCCCGCACAAGCGGUGGAGCAUGUGGUUUAAUUCGAUGCAACGCGAAGAACCUUACCUGGGUUUUGACAUAUAGGUUGUAGGGAACUGAAAAGGGACCGACCCUUCGGGGAGCCUAUACAGGUGUUGCAUGGCUGUCGUCAGCUCGUGUCGUGAGAUGUUCGGUUAAGUCCGCUAACGAGCGCAACCCUCGUCGUAUGUUAUAUGUGUCAUACGAGACUGCCGGUAAAAGCCGGAGGAAGGUGAGGAUGAUGUCAAGUCAGCAUGACCUUUAUAUCCAGGGCUACACACACGCUACAAUGGUCUGUACAAUGGGUAGCCAAGCCGCGAGGCGGAGCCAAUCCUGAAAGCAGGCCUCAGUUCAGAUUGCAGUCUGCAACUCGACUGCAUGAAGCCGGAGUUGCUAGUAACCGCAGGUCAGCAAUACUGCGGUGAAUACGUUCCCGGGUCUU